GGCUGUAUAGUGUAGUGGUUUAUCACUCGGGAUUUUGACAACAUCUUCCCGUAACCUGGGUUCGAGCCCCAGUACGGCCU